rnacentral:lncRNA from 1 species
UAUGUGUCUCAAACAGGGUAAGAAUGCUACAGUAUCUAACACUGGCAGACAGAAGCAGCUCUGCUAUACUCGAAUUCUGGCACCUGUGGAGGUUAUCUGGAAAAUGCAAAUGCCAAACACUUAGAAUAUGAAACUACAUAAACCAGAACACUGGCUUCCCAGAUUGGUGCCAUCUUGUUCAUUUCGCUUCCUCUUUCUCUUCCAUGACUUUAACAAUUAAAUUUCAGCAGGCAAAAUGUGCAGCUUACAAUUAUAAGUUUUUACCUAGUUCUCCUGGCAAGAUGAGAUGUAUUAUGUUUUGCUGCUCUGUUUCUUCAAAUAAUGAUGAUAAAGGAAAUAUCUGACAUGGAUUGAAAAAGAGAAAUGGUGCUCAGAUCAGAGGUAGGUAUUUAUUUGUAGUUUCUAUGUAGGUGGAUCAUUCAUGUACUUAGAAAAUAUAUGUUGAUAGGUAAA